rnacentral:SRP_RNA from 1 species
GCUCCGGUCCCACGCAAUGGAAAUCUGUGAACCGUGUCAGGUCAGGAAUGAAGCAGCACUAAGCAGAACCUUUCAUGUGACGUGGGGGCUCCGGGGUCUG